GAUUAAGUUAUUAAGGGCGCACGGUGGAUGCCUUGGCACUAGAAGCCGAUGAAGGACGUUACUAACGACGAUAUGCUUUGGGGAGCUGUAAGUAAGCUUUGAUCCAGAGAUUUCCGAAUGGGGAAACCCAGCAUGAGUUAUGUCAUGUUAUCGAUAUGUGAAUACAUAGCAUAUCAGAAGGCACACCCGGAGAACUGAAACAUCUUAGUACCCGGAGGAAGAGAAAGAAAAUUCGAUUCCCUUAGUAGCGGCGAGCGAAACGGGAAGAGCCCAAACCAACAAGCUUGCUUGUUGGGGUUGUAGGACACUCUAUACGGAGUUACAAAGGACGACAUUAGACGAAUCAUCUGGAAAGAUGAAUCAAAGAAGGUGAUAAUCCUGUAGUCGAAAAUGUUGUCUCUCUUGAGUGGAUCCUGAGUACGACGGAGCACGUGAAAUUCCGUCGGAAUCUGGGAGGACCAUCUCCUAAGGCUAAAUACUCUCUAGUGACCGAUAGUGAACCAGUACCGUGAGGGAAAGGUGAAAAGCACCCCGGAAGGGGAGUGAAAUAGAACCUGAAACCGUGUGCUUACAAGUAGUCAGAGCCCGUUAAUGGGUGAUGGCGUGCCUUUUGUAGAAUGAACCGGCGAGUUACGAUUUGAUGCAAGGUUAAGCAGUAAAUGUGGAGCCGUAGCGAAAGCGAGUCUGAAUAGGGCGUUUAGUAUUUGGUCGUAGACCCGAAACCAGGUGAUCUACCCUUGGUCAGGUUGAAGUUCAGGUAACACUGAAUGGAGGACCGAACCGACUUACGUUGAAAAGUGAGCGGAUGAACUGAGGGUAGCGGAGAAAUUCCAAUCGAACCUGGAGAUAGCUGGUUCUCUCCGAAAUAGCUUUAGGGCUAGCCUCAAGUGAUGAUUAUUGGAGGUAGAGCACUGUUUGGACGAGGGGCCCCUCUCGGGUUACCGAAUUCAGACAAACUCCGAAUGCCAAUUAAUUUAACUUGGGAGUCAGAACAUGGGUGAUAAGGUCCGUGUUCGAAAGGGAAACAGCCCAGACCACCAGCUAAGGUCCCAAAAUAUAUGUUAAGUGGAAAAGGAUGUGGCGUUGCCCAGACAACUAGGAUGUUGGCUUAGAAGCAGCCAUCAUUUAAAGAGUGCGUAAUAGCUCACUAGUCGAGUGACACUGCGCCGAAAAUGUACCGGGGCUAAACAUAUUACCGAAGCUGUGGAUUGUCCUUUGGACAAUGGUAGGAGAGCGUUCUAAGGGCGUUGAAGCAUGAUCGUAAGGACAUGUGGAGCGCUUAGAAGUGAGAAUGCCGGUGUGAGUAGCGAAAGACGGGUGAGAAUCCCGUCCACCGAUUGACUAAGGUUUCCAGAGGAAGGCUCGUCCGCUCUGGGUUAGUCGGGUCCUAAGCUGAGGCCGACAGGCGUAGGCGAUGGAUAACAGGUUGAUAUUCCUGUACCACCUAUA
rnacentral:rRNA from 1 species